AUAGGAAUGGCAGAAAAUUGCACUAGGCUUAGGACCUAAAUAUGGAGACACAUCUCCUUCUUAUA
rnacentral:tRNA from 1 species